GCCCCAUCCAACUCUGCUUUCAUCUUUCACCUCUUUGUAACCCUUCAAAUCUGUACACGCUCUUUAGGUAUCAAACAAUUUUCCUUUCAUUUCAUCUUAUGUUCUCUAGUUUUUGUAGUUGCUAAGAAAUUUGUAUGCUUGUGAGCAUUUUCAUCAUCAAACUAAUCAGAUGUUCUAAUCCCUGCAAUUAGCCACUAAGUUCUUAAAGAGAUUAAGCGGACCAAGUCUUCAGGGUAUUCGAUCGCAUGAUACUCUGAUACCAUAUAUUAACCUUGUCCAUCUUUGUUUAAUAUUAUGUGAUGCAGAUUCAGAAAUGGUAUACUCUCUCAUUACCAGUUCAAAUGGUAAAAAUUCAUAGUUCAGGCAAGUAAAAUGCCUAAAUAACUUCCAUUAUGGAGAUAAAUGAUAGACAUUCCCAUAUAAGAAUAAAAAUAAGCACAUUCAGACAGAAGCAUAUCAAGACAUUUAUAAUCAUCCUUCUGAAAGGGAUGUGGAGAUGACAGCAGACCAAUUCCUUUGGCAUACUUGAGCACGUUGUCAGAGCGGCUCUUGGAAGGAGCUCACUGUGUACUUUGUACAUGGAGGAAUGGAAGUCAACACAGGAAGCCUCGGUAAAUCC
rnacentral:lncRNA from 1 species